rnacentral:lncRNA from 1 species
NNNNNNNNNNNNNNNNNNNNNNNNNNNNNNNNNNNNNNNNNNNNNNNNNNNNCCCUGCCAUCCCCUGCGCUGUGCCCCUGCCAUGCCCUGCGCUGUUCCCCUGCCAUCCCCUGCACCGUGUCCCUGCCAUCCCCUGCACUGUGCCCCUGCCAUCCCCUGCGCUGUGCCCCUGCCAUCCCCUGCACUGUGCCCCUGCCAUCCCCUGCACUGUUCCCCCUGCCAUGCCCUGCGCUGUGCCCCUGCCAUCCCCUGCGCUGUUCCCCUGCCACCCCCUGCACUGUGCCCCUGCCGUCCCCUGCACUGUGCCCUGCGCCAUGCUCUAUGCCGUACCCUGCAUUUCCCCUGCGCCAUACCCUGUGCCGUGCCCUGUGCCGUGUCUUGCACACCCCCUGCACUGUGCCCUGCCCCAUGCCCUGCACUGUGCCCUGCCCCAUGCCCUGCGCCGUGCCCUGGACUGUGCCCUGCACCGUGCCCUGUAUGUCCUGUGUGCCACUACCCUGUUUGCAGUCGCUGCCUCGAGGGUGUGGUGUUUGCUCAGCAGGGUGCGGGGGGAAAUGCUGUGUGUGUGUGUGUGUGUGUGUGUGUGUGUGUGUAUUUGUGUGUGUGUGUGUGUGUUUGUGUGUCACGUGCACAUGCUGGGGACUGCAGUGCCUGCAGGGCUGUGUGCAUAUAUGCACGCGUGUGUGUGUGCGCGCAUGUGUGCACGCGCAUGUGUGUGUGUGCAUGUGCAGGGGCAGUGAGGGCUGCAGUCCCUCCCUGCAGGACUGUGCAUGUGUGGGUGCAUGUGUGUGCGUGCGCAUGUGCCGGGGGCUGCAGCUCCUGCAGUGCUGUGUGCAUACGUGUCCAUGCGUGUGUGUGUGCGUGGACAGUGGGGGGGUUGCAGUUCCUCCCGGCAGGAGUGUGCAUAUCCACACGUGUGUGCGUGCAUGGGCCCAUGUGCGUGUGUAUGUGCAUGCUGGGGGCUGCAGCCCAUGCAGGCGUGUGCAUACGUGUGUGCACGCAUGGAUGUGCGCACAUGCACAGAUGUUUGUCUAUGCAUGCGUGUGUGUGUUGGCCGCUGCCGUCUCUGCAGGGGUGCACGUGUGUGCAUGCACGUGCAGUGGCCGUGUGCACAUGUGUAUGUAGUGGGGGGCUGCACGCCCUCCCUGCAGGGCUGCAUGUACCCAUGCACACGUGUGCAUGUGUGUGCUGGGAACUGCAGCCCCCAACACACCUAUGCAGGUGUGUGCGUGUGCAGGCAUGUGUGCACACGCGUACACACCUGUGCAGAGGGGGCUGCAGUCCCUGCAGGGGCAUGUGCACACAUGUUCACGCGUGUGUUUGCAUGUGCAGGGGGGGGCCACAGUCCUGGGCAGGCAGACCGCACAUUA